CGAUAGGUGAACCUGCGGAAGGAUCAUUACCGAGUUCAUGCCCUUCGGGGUAGAUCUCCCACCCUUUGUAUACUAUACCUUUGUUGCUUUGGCGGGCCGCCUAGCUACUGGCUUCGGCUGGUAAGUGCCCGCCAGAGAACCCAAAACCCUGAAUUAUUAGUGUCGUCUGAGUAAAAUAUUUAAUAUUUAAAACUUUCAACAACGGAUCUCUUGGCUCUGGCAUCGAUGAAGAACGCAGCGAAAUGCGAUAAGUAAUGUGAAUUGCAGAAUUCAGUGAAUCAUCGAAUCUUUGAACGCACAUUGCGCCCCUUGGUAUACCGAGGGGCAUGCCUAUUCGAGCGUCAUUAUCACCCCUCAAGCCUAGCUUGGUGUGAGACCUGCUGUCAAGGCAGUCUCUAAAAUCAGUGGCAGUGCUGUCGCGCUCUAAGCGUAGUAAAUCAUCGCUAUAGACACCUGGUGGCCACUCGCGAGAACCCCCCCAUUUAAUGAUAGACCUCGAGAUUGGUAGGGAUACCCGCUGAACUAAGCAUAUCUUAGCG
rnacentral:rRNA from 1 species